GCAUAUCAAUAAGCGGAGGAAAAGAAACCAACAGGGAUUGCCCUAGUAACGGCGAGUGAAGCGGCAACAGCUCAAAUUUGAAAUCUGGCGCAAGCCCGAGUUGUAAUUUGUAGAGGAUGCUUCUGGCCAGCGGCCGUUCUAAGUUCCUUGGAACGGGACGUCAUAGAGGGUGAGAACCCCGUAUGUGACCGGCGCGCAGCCUUUACGUAGCUCCUUCGACGAGUCGAGUUGUUUGGGAAUGCAGCUCUAAAUGGGAGGUAAAUUUCUUCUAAAGCUAAAUACCGGCCAGAGACCGAUAGCGCACAAGUAGAGUGAUCGAAAGAUGAAAAGCACUUUGGAAAGAGAGUUAAAAAGCACGUGAAAUUGUUGAAAGGGAAGCGCUUGCAACCAGACUUUGUAGCAAUGUUCCGCCGGUCUCCUGACCGGUCUACUCAUUGCCACGAGGCCAACAUCGUCUGGGCCCGCUGGAUAAGACCUCAGGAAUGUAGCUUCCCUCGGGAAGUGUUAUAGCCCGUGGUGAUGCAGCGCGGCUCGGGCGAGGUCCGCGCUACGGCAAGGAUGUUGGCGUAAUGGUUGCCAGCGGCCCGUCUUGAAACACGGACCAAGGAGUCUAACAUCUAUGCGAGUGUUCGGGUGUCAAACCCCUACGCGUAAUGAAAGUGAACGGAGGUGGGAGGCGUAAGCUGCACCAUCGACCGAUCCUGAUGUCCUCGGAUGGAUUUGAGUAAGAGCAUAGCUGUUGGGACCCGAAAGAUGGUGAACUAUGCCUGAAUAGGGUGAAGCCAGAGGAAACUCUGGUGGAGGCUCGCAGCGGUUCUGACGUGCAAAUCGAUCGUCAAAUUUGGGUAUAGGGGCGAAAGACUAAUCGAACCAUCUAGUAGCUGGUUCCUGCCGAG
rnacentral:rRNA from 1 species